AAGCCACCGGCACGUGGGUCCAACAAAAUCUCAAGGCUUUCACCGGCCAGCCAACUGUGCUACCGCGCACAGUACUCAAGCCAGAGAGCCACACCACCUACCUACCAGAGGCCGGACGCGACGGCGCCGCCGGAGAUGGAGACGGAGGCGACGGCGGCGAGGCAGGCAAAGGAGUCGCUGGAGCUGGCUUUCCAGAUGUCCCAGAUCCUGGGCACCGGCCUCGAUCGCCACACCCUGUCGCUGCUCAUGGCGCUCUGCGACCGCGGCGCCAACCCCGAGGCCCUCGCCGCCCUCGUCCGCGAGCUCUCCUCCGCCGGUCCCCCGGCGGCCGCGGCCGUCUCCUCUCCCGUGAGCAACGGCCCCGCGGCACCGACCCCGACAGCCGCUUCGCUGUUCCCUUCCGGUUUUCGCCACCCCUAGGGUUUGUGAGCUCCCUUCUUCCCCGAUGAGAUCCAUAUGAACUAUCACUAGAUCCCAUGGUACUAUUAAAGACUGGGUGGAACUGACGUGGUCGAUUUGAAGUAAAGCAAAUUCAGUGCUGGAAUUGCUGGAUGAAUAGGAGUCACCAUCUCAGGGAAGAUGCAAAUCUUGCUUUAGAAUUGCAUUCGUGAUGUUGUGGCUGUUGUUUCUACAAGAAAGCUGUGGUUCAUAGAGCUACCGAGAUUGACAUAUGCUUUGCUGGAGUUGUGCGGGUUAAGAGUAGUAAUCAUGAGGGGCCAUUGUCUUUUCAUUUAUCAUUGGAUCAUUUCCAUCAGUUGUGUGUGUAUCGGUUGGACACCCGGUCUUCCGUCAAUUAUCCUCCCAUUGAAAAUACGGUCCCUUGCAUUGUCAUGUGCUUAUCCUGUGAGGGAACGUGUCAUAGCCAUUGAUCGAACACUCAUUUUCAGAUGACGGUCAAAAGCUAGUAGGAUGACAUCUCAUCUCUCUGCUACUGUCCUGUUAGAAGUUCAUCGUGAUACCAUUUUACUGGUGCCCCA